AGAAUCAACGCUGGCGGCGUGCCUAACACAUGCAAGUCGCACGAGAAAGGGACUUCGGUCCUGAGUACAGUGGCGCACGGGUGAGUAACACGUGAAUAAUCUACCUCCGAGUGGGGAAUAACUGAGAGAAAUCUUAGCUAAUACCGCAUAACACUUACGAGUCAAAGCAGCAAUGCGCUUGGAGAGGAGUUCGCGGCAGAUUAGUUAGUUGGCGGGGUAAUGGCCCACCAAGACGAUGAUCUGUAUCCGGCCUGAGAGGGCGCACGGACACACUGGAACUGAAACACGGUCCAGACUCCUACGGGGGCAGCAGUGAGGAAUUUUCCGCAAUGGGCGCAAGCCUGACGGAGCAACGCCGCGUGCAGGAAGACGGUUUUCGGAUCGUAAACUGCUUUUCUCGGGGACGAGAACGGACGGUACCCGAGGAAUCAGCCCCGGCUAACUACGUGCCAGCAGCCGC
rnacentral:rRNA from 1 species